rnacentral:rRNA from 1 species
CCGCAAUGUACGAAAGUCUGACGGAGCGAUGUCGCGUGAGUGAUGAAGGUCUUCGGAUCGUAAAACUCUGUUGCUAGGGAAGAACAAGUAUCGGAGUAAUAUGCCGGUACCUUUCCGGUACCUAACCAGAAAGCCCCGGCUAACUACGUGCCAGCAUCCGCGGUAAUACGUAGGGGGCAAGCGUUUUCCGGAAUUAUUGGGCGUAAAGGGCACGCAGGCGGUUAUUUAAGUCUGAUGUGAAAUCUUGUGGCUUAACCACAAGCGGUCAUUGGAAACUGGAUAACUUGAGUACAGAAGAGGAGAGUGGAAUUCCACGUGUAGCGGUGAAAUGCGUAGAGAUGUGGAGGAACACCAGUGGCGAGGGCGGCUCUCUGAUCUGUAAUUGACGCUGAGGUGCGAAAGCGUGGGUAGCGAACA